GUUUAUUAAAAUAACAUUGCCUUUAAGUAGGAAAAUAAUAAAAAGUUCCAGAACAGAAAAUGCAGGUAAUAGAUAUCUGCGUUAAUCUGCACUUUGUCUUUCGGCAAUAAGAGAUUUAGUUUUGCAUGGACACGUAUCCAAGAAGGCUUUUCACCAGAAGAUGAGAGUAUGGAGAGAACCAUAGACUUAUGUGAUGGAGGAAAAAGCAAGGAGAACGUGAAAGAUGAGGAAAGCAUUUUGGAAGUUAUUGGCACUACAUAUCAUGAGAAAAACAGCCACAGCCCAAUUUCCUAAAAAGUAAGUAACAAAAAUACACCACCAGAAAUAAGGUAAUCUCCAUUAUGGUGAAAAUAUCUAUAAAAUAAAAAAUAAGCAAAAAAGACUUUUGGUUCCUCU
rnacentral:lncRNA from 1 species